ACAGAGGGGGCAAGCGUUGUUCGGAAUUACUGGGCGUAAAGGGCGCGUAGGCGGCGUGCUAAGUCGAACGUGAAAUCCCCGGGCUCAACCCGGGAACUGCGUCCGAGACUGGCAUGCUUGAAUCCGGGAGAGGGAUGUGGAAUUCCAGGUGUAGCGGUGAAAUGCGUAGAUAUCGUAAGGAAGACCAGUGGCGAAGGCGAGUCUCUGGACAGUUACUGACGCUGAGGCACGAAGGCCAGGGGAGCAAACGGGA
rnacentral:rRNA from 1 species